UACGUAGGAUGCAAGCGUUAUCCGGAAUCACUGGGUGUAAAGCGUUCGUAGGUGGGAAUGUAAGUCUUUUAUUAAAUCCCGAUGCUCAACAUCGGAUCUGUAAGAGAAACUGCAUUUCUUGAGGAUGGGAGAGGCAAGUGGAAUUCUCGGUGUAGGGGUAAAAUCCGUAGAUAUCGAGAGGAACACCAAAAGCGAAGGCAGCUUGCUGGAACAUUCCUGACACUAAAGAACGAAAGCGUGGGGAGCGAAAAGG
rnacentral:rRNA from 1 species